rnacentral:rRNA from 1 species
CGGGGAUGACUUGUGGGUAGCGGUGAAAUUCCAAUCGAGCCCGGAGAUAGCUGGUUCUCCCCGAAAUAGCUUUAGGGCUAGCCUCAAGGUGAGAGAUACGGAGGUAGAGCACUGAAUGUCCUAGGGGGUAUUGCACCUACCGAAGACUAUCAAACUCCGAAUGCCGUCAUCUUAUACUUGGGAGUCAGACUGUGGGUGAUAAGAUUCAUAGUCGAAAGGGCAACAGCCCAGAUCGUCAGCUAAGGUCCCUAAAUGUAAGUUAAGUGGUAAAGGAUGUGGGAUUGCACAGACAACCAGGAUGUUGGCUUAGAAGCAGCCACUCAUUCAAAGAGUGCGUAAUAGCUCACUGGUCGAGUGAUCC